UUGCAACUUUGGUGUCAUAGU
rnacentral:piRNA from 1 species